GAUGAACGCUGACAGAAUGCUUAACACAUGCAAGUCAACUUGAACUUCGGUUUGGGUGGCGGACGGGUGAGUAACGCGUAAAGAACUUGCCUCACAGUUAGGGACAACAUUUGGAAACGAAUGCUAAUACCUGAUAUUAUGAUUUUAGGGCAUCCUAGAAUUAUGAAAGCUAUAUGCGCUGUGAGAGAGCUUUGCGUCCCAUUAGCUAGUUGGAGAGGUAACGGCUCACCAAGGCGAUGAUGGGUAGCCGGCCUGAGAGGGUGAACGGCCACAAGGGGACUGAGACACGGCCCUUACUCCUACGGGAGGCAGCAGUGGGGAAUAUUGGACAAUGGACCAGGAGUCUGAUCCAGCAAUUCUGUGUGCACGAUGAAGUUUUUCGGAAUGUAAAGUGCUUUCAGUUGGGAAGAAAAAAAUGACGGUACCAACAGAAGAAGUGACGGCUAAAUACGUG
rnacentral:rRNA from 1 species